rnacentral:rRNA from 1 species
UACGUAGGGUGCGAGCGUUGUCCGGAUUUAUUGGGCGUAAAGAGCUCGUAGGCGGUUUGUCGCGUCGGCCGUGAAAUCUCCACGCUUAACGUGGAGCGUGCGGUCGAUACGGGCAGACUUGAGUUCGGUAGGGGAGACUGGAAUUCCUGGUGUAGCAGUGAAAUGCGCAGAUAUCAGGAGGAACACCUAUUGCGAAGGCGGCUCACUGGCCCGGUACUGACGCUGAGGUGCGAAAGCGUGGGGAGCAAACAGG